GAUGAACGCUGGCGGCGUGCCUAAUACAUGCAAGUCGAGCGAACAGACGAGGAGCUUGCUCCUCUGACGUUAGCGGCGGACGGGUGAGUAACACGUGGAUAACCUACCUAUAAGACUGGGAUAACUUCGGGAAACCGGAGCUAAUACCGGAUAAUAUAUUGAACCGCAUGGUUCAAUAGUGAAAGACGGUUUUGCUGUCACUUAUAGAUGGAUCCGCACCGCAUUAGCUAGUUGGUAAGGUAACGGCUUACCAAGGCAACGAUGCGUAGCCGACCUGAGAGGGUGAUCGGCCACACUGGAACUGAGACACGGUCCAGACUCCUACGGGAGGCAGCAGUAGGGAAUCUUCCGCAAAGGGCGAAAGCUUGACGGAGCAACGCCGCGUGAGUGAUGAAGGUCUUCGGAUCGUAAAACUCUGUUAUUAGGGAAGAACAAAUGUGUAAGUAACUAUGCACGUCUUGACGGUACCUAAUCAGAAAGCCACGGCUAACUACGUG
rnacentral:rRNA from 1 species